AGGCACUACAAUGUGCUAGUGGAGUAACUAGUGCUGGAAACAUAGCGAAGAUGGGGGCAUCUGCUGAUUUGUUCAGCCCAACCUAAAAUCUUGAAUGUGAUACUACACAUCGAACUUCAUCAGCGCUCUUCAAGGAUGCUGUGAAACUUCAUCACCACCACUGCAUCCCCGCUACACAAGAUGCGGCGAAAUUGCAUCACCACUACUGCAUUAACGCUUCAGAAGAUGCAGCGAAACUGCAUCACCAAUACUG